rnacentral:rRNA from 1 species
GUCAGAGGUUCGAAGGCGAUCAGAUACCGCCCUAGUUCUGACCGUAAACGAUGCCACCUGACGAUCCGCCAGGGUUACUACCAUGACUCGGCGGGCAGUCCCCGGGAAACCCAAGCCUUCGGGUUCCGGGGGAAGUAUGGUUGCAAAGCUGAAACUUAAAGGAAUUGACGGAAGGGCACCACCAGGAGUGGAGCCUGCGGCUUAAUUUGACUCAACACGGGGAACCUCACCCGGCCCGGACACCGCGAGGAUUGACAGAUUGAGAGCUCUUUCUCGAUUCGGUGGGUGGUGGUGCAUGGCCGUUCUUAGUUGGUGGAGCGAUUUGUCUGGUUAAUUCCGAUAACGAACGAGACUCUAGCCGGUUAAGUAGCCCGAGCGGUUUUUGAUCUUUGCCGUUCAUCCCCGUUCGACCUUUGCGUCGUCCCCUUCUUUCGGGCCGUCUCCGUCGUUUGUUUUUCCGUUUCCCGUCCGUUUCCUAGAUUGUCCGUCGUCCCGUCGUUCGUCGACGGGUGCCGACGGUUUUCGUGGUUUCGAUGCGGGGGCGGAAGGCGGCGGCGGAACGGUGCGUUCAGGGGUAUACGCUCGGUCGUUUCGGGGUGAAAGCAUAACCGAAGGCCGCCGGCUUUUAAGGAAGCUUCUUAGAGGGACGAGCGGCGUUCAGCCGCCCGA